AGUGAACGCUGGCGGUAGGCCUAACACAUGCCAGUCGAACGGCAGCACAGUAAGAGCUUGCUCUUACGGGUGGCGAGUGGCGGACGGGUGAGGAAUACAUCGGAAUCUACUUUUUCGUGGGGGAUAACGUAGGGAAACUUACGCUAAUACCGCAUACGACCUACGGGUGAAAGAAGGGGAUCUUCGGACCUUGCGCGAUUGAAUGAGCCGAUGUCGGAUUAGCUAGUUGGCGGGGUAAAGGCCGACCAAGGCGACGAUCAGUAGCUGGUCUGAGAGGAUGAUCAGCCACACUGGAAGUGAGACACGGUCCAGACUCCGAAGGGAGGCAGCAGUGGGGAAUAUUAGGCGAUGGGGGCAGGCCUGAUACAGCAAUACCGCGUGGGUGAAGAAGGCCCUAGGGUUGUAAAGCCAUGUUGUUGGGAGAGAAAAGCAGCAGUGUAAUACGCCGCGGUUAUGACGGUACCCAAAGAAUAAGCCCCGGCUAACUUCGUG
rnacentral:rRNA from 1 species